rnacentral:rRNA from 1 species
UACGAAGGGGGCUAGCGUUGCUCGGAAUUACUGGGCGUAAAGGGCGCGUAGGCGGCACUGUUAGUCAGGCGUGAAAGUCCUGGGCUCAACCUGGGAACUGCGCUUGAUACGGCAGAGCUAGAGGAUGGAAGAGGCUCGCAGAAUUCCCAGUGUAGAGGUGAAAUUCGUAGAUAUUGGGAAGAACACCGGUGGCGAAGGCGGCGAGCUGGUCCAUUACUGACGCUGAGGCGCGACAGCGUGGGGAGCAAACAGG